rnacentral:lncRNA from 1 species
UGCUGUCCAUGAACCUGUGCCUAGCAUGUAGCUAUGUGGAACUAUUGGCAUUUGACAGACUCCGGAUUUUUGUCCUUAAUUAAUUUCCUUCCGUUCAAGGAAGCUAAAUGAUUUUUGCAUUUUUCCAACAUGAAAUUCCCUAACUUCCCCCUUUGCAUUUGUCAAUUUUCUGAUAUAUUUAGGUUUCCUAUUGGUUCAGUUAAUGAUUCUACCUUUGACAAAGGAAAGAGGAGAUGAGGGCCACACCAAGCUGUAGUGUUGUGGCAAGUGCUAGAGGACAUAUCUUCCUCAAUUUCAAGUCUUAGGUUUAAACUUUGAAUUGGCGCAAAGCAUCAUAUUUCUCAAGGCAUACUAACAUGGGAAGGCGAUAUAUUUAGGUUUCCUAUUGGUUCAAUUAAUGAUUCUACCUUUGACAAAGGAAAGAGGAGAUGAGGGCCACACCAAGCUGUAGUGUUGUGGCAAGUGCUAGAGGACAUAUCUUCCUCAUUUUCAAGUCUUAGGUUUAAACUUUGAAUCGGCGCAAAGCAUCAUAUUUCUCAAAGCAUACUAACAUGGGAAGGAGACAACAUCAUAAAGUCAUAGUUUCAAUUUGGCUGGAGAUUUCAUGUAAAUCUCACUCGUGCCUGCUCUCAUCCAUAAUGACCUCUUAAUCAUGCUCAUAAGUAUCAAACAUAGUGAUGUGAUUUUCUUUCACAUAUAGUUUUCUGGUAUAGAUCAAUUUACUUGGUAGAAAAUUAGUCCAAGG